rnacentral:lncRNA from 10 species
GAGAGUCUCCUGGUGGACCUCAUUCAUUUUGAUGGGAGAGACACCAGGCUGACCUCAUUUAUCUUAAUGGUAGGCACCUGUCCGACCAUCGUCAUUCUAAUGGGAGAGACUCCUGGCCGACCUCAGGCAUUCUAACAUGAGACACCUGGCCGACCUCAGGCAUUCUAAAGGGAGUGUCUCCUAGGCGAUCACAGCCAUUCUAUGGGUAGAGACACCUGGUCUACCUCAGGGAUUCUAAUGAGAGAAACAACUGGCCAACCUCAGGUUUUCUAACAGAGACUCUUGGCCAACUUCGGGCAUUCAAAAGAUUGAGACUACUGGCCAACCUCAGGCAUUCUAAUGGGGGAGAAAUGUGGCAGACCUCAGGCAUUCUAACGUGAGAGUCUUCUGGAUGACCUCAGGCAUUCUAAGGGGAGAGACACCUGGCCAACCUCAGGCAUUAUAAUGGAAAGGACUCCUGGCCUAACUCAGGGAUUCUAAUGGGAGAGACAGCCAGAUGAUCUCCAUCAUUCUAAGGGGAGGAACUCCUGGCUGACAUCAGGCAUUCUGAGGGGAGAGUCUCCUGUCCAAAUUCAGGCAUUCUGAGUGGAUAGACACCUGACCAACAUCAGGCAUCUAAGGAUAGGGACACCUGGCUGAACUCAAGCAUUCUAAGGGGAGAGACACCUGGUUGACCUCAUUCAUUCUAUUGAAAGAGAUACCUGGCCAACCUCAGGAGAGACAUCUGGCCGACCUCAGGCAUCCUAAGGGGAGAGGCACCUGACCUACCUCAAUCAUCCUAACAGAAUUGACACCUGUCUGGCCUCAGGCAUUCUAAUAGGAGAGAAACCUGGCCGACCUCAGGAAUUCUAAGGGGAAAGACACAUGGCCAACCUCAGGCAUUCUAACAGGUGAGACACCUGGCCCACC